GUCCACGCCGUAAACUAUGGGUGCUAGCCGUCGGCGAGCUUGCUCGUCGGUGGCGCAGCUAACGCAUUAAGCACCCCGCCUGGGGAGUACGGCCGCAAGGUUAAAACUCAAAGGAAUUGACGGGGGCCCGCACAAGCGGUGGAGCAUGUGGUUUAAUUCGACGCAACGCGAAGAACCUUACCAGCUCUUGACAUGCCCGGACGGUUUCCAGAAAUGGAUUCCUCCCAGCAAUGGGUCGGGACACAGGUGCUGCAUGGCUGUCGU
rnacentral:rRNA from 1 species